rnacentral:rRNA from 1 species
AUGUAUAAUAUUCAUCCAUGGAUGGAUGGAUCAGAUGGGACAGGUGAAGUUGGCGGGGCACUUCUUGCCGCACUGGUUGAGGAGGAGGGUCAGGUCGAUGGGCACGUUGAGCUUGAUGCCGAGAAUGUUGGCCCUGAUGGCGGUGCAGAGGCACACCGCGGCGUCGAGGUCGGCGAGCCCGCCCAGGAGCGGGCAACACUCCUCGUUCGCCGGCACGCCGAUCUUGAGCUUCAGCAGGUUCAACACAUUGGCGCACACACCCAGCUUCAGCGUGUUGAUCGGGCAGCUGCCCCCGCCGGUCGGUGGCACGAUUGGCGGUGA